CCUACGGGGGGCAGCAGUGAGGAAUAUUGGUCAAUGGCCGAAAGGCUGAACCAGCCAAGCCGCGUGAGGGAAGAAGGUGCUACGCAUUGUAAACUUCUUUUGUCAAGGGGCAAAACCAGGCUCGAGAGCCUGACCGAGGGUACUUGAAGAAAAAGCAUCGGCUAACUCCGUGCCAGCAGCCGCGGUAAUACGGAGGAUGCGAGCGUUAUCCGGAUUUAUUGGGUUUAAAGGGUGCGCAGGCGGGGGGUAAAGUCAGCGGUAAAAGCGCGGGGCUCAACCCCGUCGUGCCGUUGAAACUGGAUGUCUUGAGAGGGCGAGAGGUAUGCGGAAUGCGUGGUGUAGCGGUGAAAUGCAUAGAUAUUGCGCAGAACUCCGAUUGCGAAGGCAGCAUACCGGCGGGGAACUGACGCUGAGGCACGAAAGCGUGGGUAUCGAACAGGAUUAGAUACCCGGGUAGUC
rnacentral:rRNA from 1 species